rnacentral:lncRNA from 1 species
ACCGUCGGCCGAGAUCACGGGCGGGUUGCUCGGUUUUUAAGGGGACCGGCCCAUUUAUUGUGUGGUCCUCUUAUUUUAUUCUUUUGACAUUAAUGAGCUUUAGGGCGGGGACAGACCGCCUGGUCAAUUUCUAUAGAUACGGAAGCGGCCGGCAGAUAAAUGAUAGAUCCGCUCCAGAUUCAUUGGCAUUUAGUCAAGGGAAAUGCGCCACGGAAGACGAAAGGUAAAGUAGACCAGCUGAUAUCAAGAGGAUUCAGCUUUUUUUGUAACGUAUACUGUAGAUUCCCCACCACUGAACUCUGUGCUGAGACAUUUAUAUACUAUGCAUUGGAGCCUUAGUUCAAACACUUCUGAAAGUCUUUCUUGGCUUUAAAUUCUCGCUUGCUUGCUCUCUCUCUCUCUCUCUCUCUUUUUCAGGGCAGGAAGAAAAAGCCAGAAAACUAGGGGAGUAGAGAAAUGGGAAGUGGAAUCCUCAGGGGUCAGUUCUGGAGU